rnacentral:rRNA from 1 species
GCCCUACGGGCGCAGCAGAGAGGAAUAUUGGUCAAUGGGCGAGAGCCUGAACCAGCCAAGUCGCGUGAGGGAAGACGGUCCUAUGGAUUGUAAACCUCUUUUGCCGGGGAGCAAAAAGCGGUACGUGUACCGCAUCGAGAGUACCCGGAGAAAAAGCAUCGGCUAACUCCGUGCCAGCAGCCGCGGUAAUACGGAGGAUGCGAGCGUUAUCCGGAUUUAUUGGGUUUAAAGGGUGCGCAGGCGGCGAGUUAAGUCAGCGGUAAAAUCGUGGGGCCCAACCCCAUCCCGCCGUUGAAACUGGCGGG